UAUCUAUAAGGUGAGCUUGAAUUUAUU
rnacentral:sRNA from 1 species